AGGUCUCUGCGGGAAUGAGUAGGGAUGAGGUGAGGAGGCUGCCACACAAGGAGACCAUCUGCCUUGAUGGAGAUUUCUUUUCUGCAACUGGAUGUUUUCCUGUCAUGACUGGAUUUCACAAUGACUGCUAAGGAACUGUUUGAGGCAAAAGAAGAUGGGAUUGGUCCACCUGCAUUACAGGAAUUCACCGUGGAAACCACCAGACAGGAAAAAGAGGAGUGGGAGAAAGCAAAUCAGGAUCACUGUGGACUCCUGAGCACAGAUUGCUUAAAUAAAUGAGAAGAUCAAAGGACUGACCAGUGUAUUGAUACUGGUGCUACCGUUCCCAAAAUAUUCCUGAGAUGGGGAUUAAGGAGAACCAUAAUCAGAAACCUAUUA